CCUAGCCGCCACUAUGAUGACCGCAUCCCUUUCGCAGGUGCACCAGAACUACCACCAGGACUCAGAGACCGCCAUCAACCGCCAGAUCAACCUGGAGCUCUAUGCCUUCUAUGUCUACCUGUCCAUGUCUUACUACUUUGACCGAGAUGAUGUGGCUUUGAAGAACUUUGACAAAUAUUUCCUUCACCAAUCUAUGAGGAGAAAGAACAUGCAGAGAAACUGAUGAAGCUGCAGAACCAGAGAGGUGGCCGCAUCUUCCUGCAGGAUAUCAAGAAACCAGACCGUGAUGACGGGGAAAGCAGGCUGAAUGCGAUGGAGUGUUCACUGCACUUGGAAAAAAGUGUGAAUCAGUUACUACUGGAACUGUGCAAACUGGCCACUGACAAAAAUGACCCCCACUUGUGUGACUUCAUUGAGACUCAUUACUUGAGUGAGCAGGUGAAAUCCAUCAAAGAACUGGGUGACCAUGUCACCAACUUAUGCAGGUUGGGAGCCCCUGAAUCUGGCAUGGCAGAAUGUCUCUUUGACAAGCACACUCUGGGAGAAAGUGAUGAAAGCUAAGCCUUGGGUUGAUUCCCCAAAGCCCCACGUGACUUCUGGUCACCGAGGCAGUGCAUGCAUGUUUGGGCUUAUCAUUACCUUUUCUAUAAGUUGUACCAGAACAUCCUAAGUUCUUUUAAUUUGUACUAUUCCUUCAAAUAAAGAAAUUUGGUACCUAAAA